rnacentral:rRNA from 1 species
GAUGAACGCUGGCGGCGUGCCUAAUACAUGCAAGUCGAGCGAACAGACAAGGAGCUUGCUCCUCUGACGUUAGCGGCGGACGGGUGAGUAACACGUGGAUAACCUACCUAUAAGACUGGGAUAACUUCGGGAAACCGGAGCUAAUACCGGAUAAUAUAUUGAACCGCAUGGUUCAAUAGUGAAAGACGGUUUUGCUGUCACUUAUAGAUGGAUCCGCGCCGCAUUAGCUAGUUGGUAAGGUAACGGCUUACCAAGGCAACGAUGCGUAGCCGACCUGAGAGGGUGAUCGGCCACACUGGAACUGAGACACGGUCCAGACUCCUACGGGAGGCAGCAGUAGGGAAUCUUCCGCAGUGGGCGAAAGCUUGACGGAGCAACGCCGCGUGAGUGAUGAAGGUCUUCGGAUCGUAAAACUCUGUUAUUAGGGAAGAACAGAUGUGUAAGUAACUAUGCACGUCUUGACGGUACCUAAUCAGAAAGCCACGGCUAACUACGU